rnacentral:rRNA from 1 species
ACGUGCGCCUGGGAGUACGUCGCAAGCUGAACUAAAGGAAUGGCGGGGAGCACCACAACGGGUGAGCUGCGGUUUAAUUGACUCAACGCCGGGCAGCUCACCGGAUAGGACAGCGGAAUGAUAGCCGGGCUGAAGACCUUGCUUGACCAGCUGAGAGGAGGUGCAUGGCCGUCGUCAGUUCGUACUGUGAAGCAUCCUGUUUAGUCAGGCAACGAGCGAGACCCACGCCAACAGUUGCUAGGACGGUCUCCGGAAUGAUGAGGACACUAAAAAGACCGCCUCUGCUGGGGGGGGGGGGGGGGGGGCAACGGUAGGUCAGCAUGCCCCGAAUUAUCCGGGCUACACGCGGGCUACAAUGGUCAAAAAAGAAAGGAAACGGCACUGAAAAGUGUAGUCAAUCUCCUAAACCUGUCCCAAGUUCGGAUUGUGGGCUGCAACUCGCCCCCA